rnacentral:rRNA from 1 species
AGUGAACGCUGGCGGUAGGCCUAACACAUGCAAGUCGAACGGCAGCACAGUAAGAGCUUGCUCUUACGGGUGGCGAGUGGCGGACGGGUGAGGAAUACAUCGGAAUCUACUUUUUCGUGGGGGAUAACGUAGGGAAACUUACGCUAAUACCGCAUACGACCUACGGGUGAAAGCAGGGGAUCUUCGGACCUUGCGCGAUUGAAUGAGCCGAUGUCGGAUUAGCUAGUUGGCGGGGUAAAGGCCCACCAAGGCGACGAUCCGUAGCUGGUCUGAGAGGAUGAUCAGCCACACUGGAACUGAGACACGGUCCAGACUCCUACGGGAGGCAGCAGUGGGGAAUAUUGGACAAUGGGCGCAAGCCUGAUCCAGCCAUACCGCGUGGGUGAAGAAGGCCUUCGGGUCGUAAAGCCCUUUUGUUGGGAAAGAAAAGCAGCAGGUUAAUACCCCGCUGUUCUGACGGUACCCAGAGAAUAAGCACCGGCUAACUUCGUG